rnacentral:rRNA from 1 species
GGGCCCGCACAAGCGGUGGAGCAUGUGGUUUAAUUCGAUGAUACGCGAGGAACCUUACCAGGGCUUAAAUGCAGAGCGACAGAGGUGGAAACACCUCCUUCUUCGGACGGUCUGCAAGGUGCUGCAUGGUUGUCGUCAGCUCGUGCUGUGAAGUGUCGGGUUAAGUCCCAUAACGAGCGCAACCCCUAUUUCUAGUUGCCAGCGGUUCGGCCGGGGACUCUAGAGAAACUGCCAGCGUAAGCUGUGAGGAAGGUGGGGAUGACGUCAAAUCAUCACGGCCCUUACGUCCUGGGCCACACACGUGCUACAAUGGUAAGGACAGAGAGUUGCCAACCCGCGAGGGUGAGCUAAUCCCAUAAACCGUGGCUCAGUUCAGAUCGUAGGCUGCAACUCGCCUACGUG